rnacentral:rRNA from 1 species
CCCUUAGAUGUUCUGGGCCGCACGCGCGCUACACUGACGAAUGCAACGAGCUUAUAACCUUGGCCGAAAGGUCUGGGUAAUCUCCAAAUUUCGUCGUGAUGGGGAUAGAUUAUUGCAAUUAUUAAUCUUCAACGAGGAAUGCCUAGUAAGCGCAAGUCAUCAGCUUGCGUUGAUUACGUCCCUGCCCUUUGUACACACCGCCCGUCGCUCCUACCGAUUGAAUGGUCCGGUGAAGCGUUCGGACCGUGGCCUUUGGACGGUUCGCCGUCUGUUGGCUGCGGGAAGUUCGUUAAACCUUAUCAUUUAGAGGAAGGAGAANUCGUANCA